GAUUAUAGAUGUUAAAGACUUUCCUUUCCUUCAGACACUGCUAUGGGGAAUAGCCGGCCUGUUCAUCAAAGGAAAACCAAGCUCCAUGCUCUUUGAGGAGGUAGCUGAGAACACUGCAAUCUGAAGCACUCUUAAAGAGACCCAUAUACCACAAGCUGAGGAAUCUUCAGUUAUUCCUGUUCCAUUUGAUGGAAUGUUUUCAUCAUUAUUACAUCAUUAGAUUCCACUAACUCGAGAAGCAGGCAGGGGCACAGAAUGUUACUCCCAUUUUACAGAUGUGUUUGAAGAAUAAGACCACUGGAUUUCUAGGCUUCAAUCUCUAUUUUUAAGAUUUUCUUAAGAAAUGCAAAACAUUGGAAAGGCAUGAAAAAAUGAGGAGUUGUAAGCACAGUUAAAAGUUUGGAAAACUUCAAUGGAGCAUUGCUUGUGUUAGAGAAAAGAGAAAAUCUUACGCAAGUGCGAUAAAGAAAUGACAAGAAAGAUUUCCAGAUGGGAAGGAUAUGCACUUGCUCUGUAUUAUCUCAAUCCUGGCCUUGUCUAAGAAGACAGUCCUGGAAAAAAAAAAAAAAAAAAGAAGACA